AAAAGACCCUAAGAUUGUCACUGAUUAUCAGAAUGUAGCUAUUAAAAAGAAAAUUUGAUGAAGUAAAAAUGUGUUUCAUUUUAAUUAAUUCUGUUUUCCUUUUUUGUGUCCUUUACCAGUUUAUAUGAAGAACAGGUUAGGAAGUGGCAUAGCUAAGGCAGUGCUAAUAAAAUGGUGGGACAUCCUUGCAUCUGAGGGGUGAAAUGUCAGGAGGGAAUUGGAUGCGAGGUACUCUCCUUCAGGAGGUCAGACCAGAGAGUGGCAGUGUGAUGUUCCGUAUUACUGCCGUCUACCUCAACGAUGGACCUGAUGCUGAGAGCGUGUGUGGCUGGUAUUCUGGGAUGCUCCUGAUUUGGUGACCUGAACCACACCAAGGAUAUAUGAUCUAUCCGGUACAUGGUCAGUCCUGGUUUUAACACCUUCCAUCUUGACAGCAGAUGUUACUGGAAUGGGGACACGGCUGCUACCAUGGCAAACCCGAUAAUCCUAUACAAGAGACUGAAUGGUCAGAGGUCAGACAGCAUGUAUGCUGUUCAUGCUGAUGAGCAGAAAGCUGCCGAUGUUGACUUCCAAGGACGCCGGCUGUGAGGGAGGAUCUGUGAUUAGGGAACACACUAGGUGAUGAGCAGGCUGAUGCAAUGUUACCGCUUUUACGGCCUCAAAACAGUAUCCAGCCUCUAUUGGGCUAGAACUUUGCAGUUUGGCAUAUCAGUGUUAUAUUGUCAGUGUAAAGUUUAACAAGAAGUUGUUUGAGAGUUUUCUGGAGUAACUGUCCUGUCCAUGCAGAAAACGUGGCCAACAGUUUACUUUGUUCUAUUUGAUAAAUGAAAUGAGUAUUUUAAUUUUGUCGGGUUAUUGAUAUUUUUGCACUGCUUGAAACAUUAAAAGUGAGUGAACUGUUUGUGCUAUGUGACAGGUCUCUCUGUAGAUGACACAUUCUGUUUUUUCUCCUUUCUUUUUCUGAAUCCAUGAGGAGGAUGAUUGUUCUCCAGCUCAAAUUCCAAACCGCUGUAGAAAAUGGAUGUUAGGAGAAAACUGCAUUUUGCAAAACAGGAAGAGCUUUUUCUAAACGUAUCAGUGUUUAAUUUUGGUUAAAAUAAAUGAUUUAUUAGGAAAAAUUUUGCAUUGACAGGAACUACAUUAUACAAACUGUAUUCUAUGGAAUCAAUUUCAGACAAAUAUUGACCAUAUUUCACAUGGAAUUUCAGACAAGUAUCAGUAUUCUCAAUUACUAAAACAGUGGUGUUUUGCAACUCAGAAUUCAACUCAGAAUAGAGGGUCCACUUUAAACUUUGAAAUAUUUGAAAUGAGGGUACUUUUGUUGUAGAACGUGCCUGGAUUUGACUGGAAGUGAAGUUGUCACAGGGACCAGAGAAGUUACUUUGUUAAAACCAGGACUUUGUAAUUAAAAGUGGAAAUAGAAAGAAAAACACAAGAAUUCAAGAAACUGAGAUUCACAAAACUUGCUGUUACUAGAAGAGUUUCACUCCUGGAGAGUCGACUGUAAUUUCAGUGGAAUUCAGUUUUAAUUGAAAUAAACCAUAAAGAACUAAACUUGUUCUGAUACCCUUCUAAAUGCGUUUAUUUUUUUUCUCAAGUACUUGAGA